GGGCCCGGGGGGCCCGUGUCUAGGCGGGCGCCUGCCGUGCGGCGCAAACCAAACUCUUUGUUACAUUGCAGUGGACCUCUGAGUUAAAAAAACAAUCAGUUAAAACUUUCAACAACGGAUCUCUUGGUUCUGGCAUCGAUGAAGAACGCAGCGAAAUGCGAUAAGUAAUGUGAAUUGCAGAAUUCAGUGAAUCAUCGAAUCUUUGAACGCACAUUGCGCCCGCUAGUAUUCUGGCGGGCAUGCCUGUUCGAGCGUCAUUUCAACCCCUCGGGCCCCCCUUUCGGGGCCCGGCGUCGGGGAGCACCGCCCGCGAGGGCGGCCCCCUAGAAGCAUUGGCGGACAGCCUGUGGAGUCCGAGCGCAGUAACACAUCUCUCGCUCGCGGACGAACGGGCGGCCCUGCCGUAAAAGCCCCAACUUUCUCAAGGUUGACCUCGGAUCAGGUAGGAAUACCCGCUGAACUUAAG
rnacentral:rRNA from 1 species